UCUACAUCCCUAACUCGCUGUGAGACAAGGGGAGAGCAGCGCUUAUAGUUCAUCUGAGAGGAGGGCGACUGCUUCUAUUUACAUACCUACACAGGACAGAGGCCAAAACUAUACAUCUGCAGAAGUGUGAAACACCGCCACCGCUGCUAUGUCGUCAUAAGGUGGAGAUGCCUUACCCGUAUCACCGGGGAUCACAUGUGACACGCUUGGGCCCCAGUAAUGUAUAUCAAUAUAGCCAGUCUCUUCUUCUUCUUUUAUAAGGAUUUAUCUUUUUUGUGCAUUGUAAUUCUGGCCCCUCUAUCCUUCCCAUAUGGACCCCUUGAGGAACCCGAGUUGGGGGAAACGUGUCGGGGUAAAAGGAAUAAUGCACCAGGAAAUAAUUCCAGAGCACAGCAGUUCUUAUGAGCCCAAGGAGCAUCUGCCAGUCAGAUUACUUCCUAUGCCAUCUUGCCUGAACACCUGUUAAUACCAUACAACAAUAGGUUUAACCCAUCAGCCACACGUACCUGGCAAAGAGGGGGAUACUGGAGAGUCGCUGUCCGAGGCAGCAUCAAAGCACA